rnacentral:rRNA from 1 species
UACGUAGGGCGCAAGCGUUGUCCGGAAUUAUUGGGCGUAAAGAGCUCGUCGGCGGCCAGUUGCGUCUGCUGUGAAAUCCCGGGGCUCAACCCCGGGCGUGCAGUGGAUACGGGCUGGCUAGAGGCAGGCAGGGGAGAACGGAAUUCCCGGUGUAGCGGUGAAAUGCGCAGAUAUCGGGAGGAACACCGGUGGCGAAGGCGGUUCUCUGGGCCUGUACUGACGCUGAGGAGCGAAAGCGUGGGGAGCGAACAGG